UACGUAGGGUGCAAGCGUUGUCCGGAAUUACUGGGCGUAAAGGGCUCGUAGGUGGCCAAUUAAGUCAGACGUGAAAUCCCCAGGCUUAACCUGGGAACUGCGUCUGAUACUGACUGGCUUGAAUUCGGGAGAGGGAUGCAGAAUUCCAGGUGUAGCGGUGAAAUGCGUAGAUAUCUGGAGGAACACCGGUGGCGAAGGCGGCAUUCUGGACCACAACUGACACUGAGAGACGAAAGCCAGGGGAGCAAACGGG
rnacentral:rRNA from 1 species